GUAUGGUUCAAGUGUAGUGGUGUUCACAACAAACUCAUCACAAUACAUUACAGGUUUCUUUGCUUCAUCUCCUCUCCUGUUGCUUCACUUGACUAGCUUAA
rnacentral:Y_RNA from 1 species